rnacentral:lncRNA from 1 species
ACGAAGGCCACCUGUCAAACUGCAAAUUCUCGGUUUGUGGCCCUGCGUGCUCUGCACGCUUUGAAUUACACAGUGAAAGGGCUACAGAAGCAGUCAUUGAAGGCCUACAAAAGUCUUGAUGAUUUCAAGUAUUUUGUGGCAGGAUGGGUGCGUGAUGUUGAGGUCUUCAAUGUUCCAAAUUCGGAUGUUUUUUGAUCGUGUCUAAGGUAAGAAACUUUCUUUGUGGGGAUGUGAGAGAGGAGCCUUAUCGGUGAAGUUAUACUGAUAGCAUUGCCAACUACCGGCCUAACGUAACUUACAUGUACAUGCCGUUUUGCUACAGUUAGCACUGGGACAUACUAGCUUAUUACUUGACAAGAUGAUUUUCUCAUGCCACCGUACAAAUUUCUCCAAUUUACAUAACAGCCUAAUUUGUAGAAAUUAUGAGGUUUGACCAUGGUAAAGACUUAAUUUUUUACAUGCCCAAAUAGUAAUAGUAUAGGCCUAUACAUAUGAUUUCUGUUUUUCUUCUCUCUAAGUUUUCCAUUCCCAGCAGCUUGGAUAGACACCUCACAAGCCAUGGGUUGCUGUCAAGUUAGAUGGACAAAUUCUUCAUCUGUUCAUGGGUUCUGCACUUGUAUGGCUGGUGUUGCAAAGUCGUGUUCCCACAUUGCAGCAACUUGUUUUGCAGUUGAAGCUGCUGUGUGGGUGAAAUAAUAAGUACAUCAAGUACCUCCAAGGAAUGCCAGUGGCUUGCCCCAUCCUCAAGAAAUGUGGAUUAUGUGGAAACUGUCAACAUUGACUUUUCUAGUCCCAAGAGAAGGCAGAAGUGUGGUGGAGUCACCCCCAAGGAGCUAGUUUGUUCCAAGACCAGUACUCCUUGAUCUUCCGCAGCCAUUGACAGAGCUGUAUGGUGCCAAAUUUGUUGCUGCUUCCUUCGAUGAAGUCCUUGCAAAAAAGCAAGACUGUGUGUAAGGAAAUGGCAGUUUCUAAGAAGCAGAUUGUUGGUAUAGAAAGAGAAACAAGGAGCCAGGCUGCAUCAAAGACAUGGUUCUUGUAUCUAGCUGGGCGUGUCGCCUUAUCACUUUACAAGGCCGUCUGCCACACCAGCUGUGAUAACCCAUCCAUGUCCCUCAUCAAGAGGAUAUGCUACCCCCCACACUAACAGAUUCUCAGUGCAGCAACCAGGUGGGGGUGUAAACAUGAAUGUCAAACUCUAUCAAACUCUGAUGUCUACAUCAGUAAGAGUCAGCAUGUAAAUCAGAAGGUGACUGACUGGACUUUUCAUACAUCCCAAGCAUAGCUACAUAGGGCCCUCCCAAGAUGUGUGUGUAUCUUGUGACUGUUGUGGUGAGGGAAUACUUGAGAUUAAAUGUCCAUAUUGUCACAGGAAUGACACAGUAGCUGAUGCAGCAUCUACAGACAGCCUUCUGCCUUGAAAAGCUUGGUGGUGCACUGAGUUUGAAGAAAACCACCAAAAUUAUUUUCAAAUUCAGUGUCAGUUGAUGGUAACCUCCAGAAAAUAUUGUGACUUUGUUGUUUACACCAAGUCUGACUUCCACAUUGAACGCAUACUUCCAGAGUCCAACUUUGUAAACACAAUCCAUAAUUUUGCAAAGUUUUACAAGACUUGUGUUCCUUAACUCAUUAGUCAGCACUACACUCACAAAGCUGCCCAUGUCUCUACGUCUUGUGUGCCAUGCUUUUGACAAGACUUUGACUUAAAGAAGACAAUCAUUAAGUGCUCAUCUACUGAUUGUACUGUUAAAGAGUUUCACAAACAGUGUGUGGGCCUGAAGAAUAACCCCGCAAAGAAAUGGUUGAGCAAAGUGAAGAAAACUUAGUUUUGUGUGAGAAAUACAUUGUACACCCAACCACACACGUGCUGCAAACUCCCACAUCUAUCAUGCUCUUAAGUGGGUUUGUUACAUUUGAGGAAUGUGUUAUGCCACACUGUAUGCAGGCCAGAUUUCCAUCUUAUUUUUCUCCCUGUACAUUAUAAAUAUGAAUGGGAUGCUUAAACCCCAAAUACAAAUUAAUAUCAGAGGAACAGAAUAACAAAUACAAUAGCCUCUGCUUCUUGUCAUUUUAUUGUACGUGCAGUAAAAGUUUUAGUUUCGUAGUAUUGUUAUACAAUUACAUGUAGCAUAAUUAUCCCAUCACAUUUUCUAUAAUUCUAUCCUUGAAGUGACAGUGAAAAUAAAGAUUUUAUGAGGGAAACUGGUAUUUCAAUAAAUCCCUUAGUACUGCACUGAACAUUACGUCACAUCAGUAAAACAUGCAAUGGAAUAAAACACAUUUCAAAGUGAUUAAGUACACAGGAGAACCUGAAA